rnacentral:lncRNA from 1 species
ACGCAAGGAAACUUCAAGGAAGCUUCCCAGGAUGUUCAAGACACUUCAAGGAAAUUUCCAGCCUCUUUUAGCUUUAGUUGAUGUCCACUCAGCACCCUUAAUUGCCUAUUCGGCUAUCCUAUGUAAAGGUUAUAAAUAUGUAACUCAAUUCACUUUGUAGGGUCUUUUGCCAUUGUAAUAGGCCCAAUUUGCCCGGCUCAAAUCAGAAAUAAAUAAAAAAAUAUAAUAAUAAACCAAAACCAAAAUUAAAAGUCCAAAAAAAAAAACCAAUAACAUAGUCCAGUUCUUUACAUCAGCGGGUUUAAAUCCAAGUAGGCCCAAAUGCAUAUGCCCAGAAUACUAAACCCGAAUGGCCCAAUUACACCUAGCCCAAAUCAGCCCAAAAUUACAACCAAACUUAAAUUUAACCUAGCCCACUAAAUCAAAAAACCUAGCCCGAAUGCCCA